CAUGCCGUAAACGAUGAGUGCUAAGUGUUAGGGGGUUUCCGCCCCUUAGUGCUGCAGCUAACGCAUUAAGCACUCCGCCUGGGGAGUACGACCGCAAGGUUGAAACUCAAAGGAAUUGACGGGGGCCCGCACAAGCGGUGGAGCAUGUGGUUUAAUUCGAAGCAACGCGAAGAACCUUACCAGGUCUUGACAUCCCAGUGACCACUCUAGAGAUAGAGUUUUCCCUUCGGGGACAUUGGUGACAGGUGG
rnacentral:rRNA from 2 species